UACGUAGGGGGCAAGCGUUGUUCGGAUUCAUUGGGCGUAAAGGGUGCGUAGGUGGCGCGCUAAGUCAGGUGUGAAAUUUCGGAGCUUAACUCCGAAACUGCAUUUGAUACUGGCGUGCUUGAGGACUGGAGAGGAGACUGGAAUUCAUGGUGUAGCAGUGAAAUGCGUAGAGAUCAUGAGGAAGACCAGUGGCGAAGGCGGGUCUCUGGACAGUUCCUGACACUGAGGCACGAAGGCCAGGGGAGCAAACGGG
rnacentral:rRNA from 1 species